rnacentral:rRNA from 1 species
AUGAAAACUUUCAACAACGGAUCUCUUGGCUCUGGCAUCGAUGAAGAACGCAGCGAAAUGCGAUAAGUAAUGUGAAUUGCAGAAUUCAGUGAAUCAUCGAAUCUUUGAACGCACAUUGCGCCCUCUGGUAUUCCGGGGGGCAUGCCUGUUCGAGCGUCAUUUCACCUCUCAAGCUC